rnacentral:rRNA from 1 species
UACGAAGGGGGCUAGCGUUGUUCGGAUUUACUGGGCGUAAAGCGCACGUAGGCGGAUCGAUCAGUCAGGGGUGAAAUCCCAGAGCUCAACUCUGGAACUGCCUUUGAUACUGUCGAUCUGGAGUAUGGAAGAGGUGAGUGGAAUUCCGAGUGUAGAGGUGAAAUUCGUAGAUAUUCGGAGGAACACCAGUGGCGAAGGCGGCUCACUGGACCAUUACUGACGCUGAUGCACGAAAGCUAGGGGAGCAAACAGG